GAUGAAGAACGUAGCGAAAUGCGAUAAGUAAUGUGAAUUGCAGAAUUCAGUGAAUCAUCGAAUCUUUGAACGCAUCUUGCGCUCCUUGGUAUUCCGAGGAGCAUGCCUGUUUGAGUGUCAUUUAACUUCUCAACCACAUUGGAUAUUUUUUUUCCGAUGCCGGCUUGGAUGUGGGGGUUGUUUGCAGGCUUUUUGUAACAAAAAAGGUCGGCUCCCCUGAAAUGUAUUAGUGGUAUCUGAGGCUAUUACUAUUAGGUGUGAUAAUUAUCUAUACCUUUUGGGUAUGCCGCAUGAACAGAUUAUGCUGCUUCUAACGAAAACUAUUUUGAUGAAUUUGACCUCAAAUCAGGUAGGACUACCCGCUGAACUUAAGCAUAUCAAUAAGCGGAGGA
rnacentral:misc_RNA from 1 species